rnacentral:RNase_P_RNA from 1 species
CAGCGUAGGAGCUAACGGCUCUCCACCGCGAGGUGAGGAUCAGAGCAACAGAGACGAGCCGAUUGAGUUCGGGUGAAACGGGCAAUCUCUACGCGCAGCAACACCAAGUAGGCCAGCGUCGAUGUGGCCCGCAGAGCUGGCGGGUAGGUGGCACCGAGCCGGGCGGGCGACCCCCGGCCCAGAUGGAUGGCGGUCACGCGGGCGGGCAACCGCCCGCGCACAGAAUCCGGCGUAUCGGCGGGCUUCACAC